rnacentral:rRNA from 1 species
CCUACGGGAGGCAGCAGUAGGGAAUCUCGUGCAAUGGGCGAAAGCCUGACACAGCAACUCCGCGUGCGGGAAGAAGGCCUUAGGGUUGUAAACCGCUUUUGGCAGGAACGAAAAUGACGGUACCUGCAGAAUAAGGUGCGGCCAACUACGUGCCAGCAGCCGCGGUGACACGUAGGCACCAAGCGUUGUCCGGAUUUAUUGGGCGUAAAGAGCUCGUAGGCGGUUCAGUUAGUCGGGUGUGAAAACUCUGGGCUUAACCCGGGAGACGCCACUCGAUACUGCUGGGCUAGAAUUCGGUAGGGGAGUGGGGAAUUCCUGGUGUAGCGGUGAAAUGCGCAGAUAUCAGGAGGAACACCGGUGGCGAAGGCGCCACUCUGGGCCGACAUUGACGCUGAGGAGCGAAAGCGUGGGUAGCAAACAGGAUUAGAUACCCUGGUAGUCCACGCCGUAAACGGUGGGCACUAGGUGUGGGUUCCAACCAACGGAAUCCGUGCCGUCGCAAACGCAUUAAGUGCCCCGCCUGGGGAGUACGGCCGCAAGGUUAAAACUCAAGGAUGACGG